GAUCAUGGCUCAGAACGAACGCUGGCGGCAUGCCUAACACAUGCAAGUCGAACGAGACCUUCGGGUCUAGUGGCGCACGGGUGCGUAACGCGUGGGAAUCUGCCCUUGGGUUCGGAAUAACAGCGAGAAAUUGCUGCUAAUACCGGAUGAUGACGUAAGUCCAAAGAUUUAUCGCCCAAGGAUGAGCCCGCGUAGGAUUAGCUAGUUGGUGAGGUAAAAGGCUCACCAAGGCGACGAUCCUUAGCUGGUCUGAGAGGAUGAUCAGCCACACUGGGACUGAGACACGGCCCAGACUCCUACGGGAGGCAGCAGUGGGGAAUAUUGGACAAUGGGCGAAAGCCUGAUCCAGCAAUGCCGCGUGAGUGAUGAAGGCCUUAGGGUUGUAAAGCUCUUUUACCCGGGAUGAUAACGACAGUAUCGGGAGAAUAAGCUCCGGCUAACUCCGUG
rnacentral:rRNA from 1 species